CAGAGGGUGCGAGCGUUAAUCGGAAUUACUGGGCGUAAAGCGCACGUAGGUGGCUUUGCAAGUCGAUUGUGAAAUCCCCGGGCUUAACCUGGGAACUGCAGUCGAGACUGCUUUGCUUGAGUAUGGGAGAGGGAGGUGGAAUUUCCGGUGUAGCGGUGAAAUGCGUAGAUAUCGGAAGGAACAUCAGUGGCGAAGGCGACCUCCUGGACCAAUACUGACACUCAAGUGCGAAAGCGUGGGGAGCAAACAGGAUUAGAUACCCUGGUAGUCCACGCCAUAAACGAUGAGAACUGGAUGUCGGAGGGGUCUGCCCUUCGGUGUCGUAGCUAACGCGUUAAGUUCUCCGCCUGGGGAGUACGGCCGCAAGGUUG
rnacentral:rRNA from 1 species